rnacentral:rRNA from 1 species
UACAGAGGUCUCAAGCGUUGUUCGGAUUCAUUGGGCGUAAAGGGUGUGUAGGUGGCGCCGUAAGUCGGGUGUGAAAUUUCGGAGCUUAACUCCGAAACUGCAUUCGAUACUGCGGUGCUUGAGGACUGGAGAGGAGACUGGAAUUCAUGGUGUAGCAGUGAAAUGCGUAGAGAUCAUGAGGAAGACCAGUGGCGAAGGCGGGUCUCUGGACAGUUCCUGACGCUGGGGCACGAAGGUCAGGGGAGCAAACGGG